GCGAAAGUAGCUCAGUGGUAGAGUAUUACCUUGCCAAGGUAAGUGUCGAGGGUUCGAAUCCCUUCUUUCGCU
rnacentral:tRNA from 1 species